AUUUGAAGCAGGAGAAGAAUUUGAUGCACUGUUGCUGGCUGGAAGAUAGAGUGGAUUGUUUGGUGUGGAAAAUAGGUGGCUUCCAGAAGCUGAGAGCAACUCCCAUUUAAUAGCCAAGAAAUGAGGACUUUAGUCCUACAACUUCACAUAACUUGUUUUCUUUCAAGAAUCCAAAUGAGCUUGAAUUCCAGGUGAGAACACAGCUAGUCAACAUUUUGAUUUCAACGUGAACAGAGAAUCCAACCAGCCCUGCUGUACUUCUGACUUACAAAAACGGGACCAACCACUGCCAAGAGAACUCCCCAGAAGCCAAAUUACUUCAAGACCCUUGUCAGAGCUCUUGUUGCCCAGGAGGACCAAAUGAGUGAAAUUGGAAAGAAGUCAUCAUCUGAGAGUAAAGAUUGGGAAGGAGUUGUUGGACAUAAAGAAGAGAGAAGAGUGAGACACAGCAAGAGAGGAAACAGAAGCAAAGGGAGUGGGAAAAGGAGAAGCAGGCUUCCCGCUGAGCAGGAAGGCUGAUGCGGGGCUCAAUCCCAGGGUCCUGGGAUCAUGACCUGAGCAGAAGGCAGUGCUUAAUGACUGAGCCACCCAGGCACCACUUGAAAAUGCUUCAAGCCCAGCGUAGAGCCAGUGGGACUUGAACUCACGACCCUGAGAUCAAGACUUGAGCAGAUCAAGAUUUGGACAUUUAACUGACUGAACCACUCAGGAUUGAUUGACAUGAAGGACCCCAUAUCCUCUGAGACUCAGUGGAUUUUAAAUUAUAUGUUGGAAGGCUCAGGGACAUACAUUAUCCACAUGGAACCAGAAUUUAUAAGUUGCUAUAUUAAUGCUGUAUUCCAGAUCAAGACAAGAUGUGCCUUGGAAAAUUAUUCAUUAUUAGAGGCUUUAUUUGUUUUCCCAUUGGGAAGCUGUAGGGUAUUCAGUGAAGCAAAGAAAGAAAGAUGGAGAUUUUCAGG